AUUCCCCUUGAACGAGGAAUUCCCAGUAAGCGCGAGUCAUAAGCUCGCGUUGAUUACGUCCCUGCCCUUUGUACACACCGCCCGUCGCUACUACCGAUUGGUUGGCAUUGUGAGCCCCUCGGAUUGGUCCCGGCAGCGGGGUUUCUCGCAGCCGGAUGUGCCGAGAAGUAGGGCGAACAGUCCUGACUAGAGGAAGUAAAAGUCGUAACAAGGUUUCCGUAGGUGAACCUGCGGAA
rnacentral:rRNA from 1 species